rfam:Hordeum vulgare subsp. vulgare, WGS project CAJW01000000 data, contig: morex_contig_735387
UGCUAGGCGAAGGGGUUGAGUGCCGCACCCUAGAUGGCUAAAGUCCAGUAGCCGAAAGCAUCACUAGCUUAUGCUCUGACCCGAGUAGCAUGGGGCACGUGGAAUCCCGUGUGAAUCAGCAAGGACCACCUUGCAAGGCUAAAUACUCCUGGGUGACCGAGAGCGAAGUAGUACCGUGAGGGAAAGGUGAAAAGAACCCCCAGUGGGUAGUGAAAUAGAACGUGAAACCGUGCUGAGCUCCCAAGCAGUGGGAGGGGAAAGUGAUCUCUGACCGCGUGCCUGUUGAAGAAUGAGCCGGCGACUCAUAGGCAGU